rnacentral:rRNA from 1 species
GACGAACCGUGCGAACGUUAUUCGGAAUCACUGGGCUUAAAGGGCGCGUAGGCGGGCCGACAAGUCAGGGGUGAAAUCCUCCAGCCCAACUGGAGAAGCGCCUUUGGUACUGUCGGCCUCGAGGGGUGCAGGGGCAUGCGGAACUCAGGGUGGAGCGGUGAAAUGCGUAGAUAUCCUGAGGAACACCGGUGGCGAAAGCGGCGUGCUGGACACCUUCUGACGCUGAGGCGCGAAAGCCAGGGGAGCGAACGGG